GCCGAGCACGCCGCGCGCACCUGACCGUGGAGGGUGUGAGCCGAGGGCCCCUCGCUCCCAGGAGCUCCGCUCCUGGGCACAACCUGCGGGCGGGCGGGCACCCGGUUGCGCAGCCCCCUGGGUGCCCCAGUGUCACCCCCUUCCUCCCGGCCAGUCAAGCGCAGAAAGAUACCGGGCGCUGUGCCCGGCGCUCCCUCCCUCCUCUGCCCCCUCCGGAGCAGAGGCGCCCCGGUCGCCUCCCCUCCGGCUGCAGCGUUACACAACCGCGGCGGCGGCGCCUGCCCUGCAGCAGCGCAGGGCGUGACGCUUCACGUGGCCGGGCUCAGGUCGUAGCACCGCGGACCGCGAGCCUCUCUGCGUUGACCCAGGGACUGAGACCCCGGGGACGUGGCGUGCCAGCCCGGAUCGGCCCUCUCCCUGCCUGUUGGGAAGUUCGGCGGCGCUGUUCGCGGUCUGCACCCAGGGCAGGAGGGAUGAGAGAGACAAGAAAAAAAAACCGCCUGUUACAGGGAAAUCUUAGCAAUCAUGCGGUCGACACGUAUUUCUUGAGCCCCCUGCUCUGCACUAGGCGCUGCACUAGUUGAUGAAUCCGACACGGAUCCUGCCCUUGAACUUGCAGAACCUCUAGGAAGAGGUUAAAUUGAGCAAUAAAGGAAAGGCAGCCCUGGGAAAAUUGUAUCGAGGCCACUGGCUGACAGAGGGGAAAAACAAUGAGAACUUGUGUUGCUUUGUGUUUUGUUUUUAAUUUCAUUGUAACCGAGAUGCCUAGGUAGAGAAGCGGGGGAGAAGCUAACCCAAAGCCCCAAGCCCGGGGCGGAAGGACCUCCUCCAGCGGCCCCAGAUCUCUGCAAUCUCACUUAGGCUGCCGGAGGGCCCCACCCACCUCCCCCGGAAAGGUCCGGGCUCUGUGACCUUCUCACUCAGCCGGGAGCAGGGAAAACAGCUGAAACUCCAAUCCCGCGGUGUGAGCAGCGCUGAUACAGUCAGAGGAGGGAGCCAGUGGAAACUCAUGACUAAAAUAAGGCCUGGCUGGGGAUUUCACUGACCUCUGCGCUCCCCUGCCCUGCAAGUUCGGGGAGUUGAGAGAUGACUGUAAGCCCUUCCCACUGCGCUUCGGGUCAGUCACCCCACUGCUGAGUGACCUGGCUGUGGGAAGGAUUGAAAAAAAAAUGGGGUCACUGCCGAGACUGGGCGAAGAGUAGUAGCCUCGGGUGCAGUUAGGGGAUCAGUCUUAACUGGCAGUGCCCUUGACGACCUAGAGAACUGGCAUUCACAAGUUGACCAAACUGGCAGUGUAUUUCCUUCAGGUCGCCUUGGAGAGCUCCCGCUUCCUGUUUAUAUUUCACAAGCGUCAAACUCUUUAGCAAGUGUGAGAAAUGCCUCCUUUUCUAACUGCUAACUGGCAUGACCUCACUUCGGGGCUCAGAGAUCCCUCCCUGCCAGAAUGUACUUUUGCUGGCCAAAGGCGGGGACCGGGGUCCGCCCUGGAAACGCGCUUUCAAUCUUGGGCGACCUGCUUCAUUGUGUGAUUUUAAUAAGGAUGAAGGGCUGUCACGGCUGCGUCAAAACCACGGUUCCAGCAGGAAAUAAGCACUGGGAGAGGACAGGACACGUACCCCCUUCCGCCGACACCCCCCACCCGAUGGCAGGAGGGAGCCCAAACCUUGCAGCUUCCAUGGCUCAUGGCUCAUGACAAUAUCAUUCUUAAAAUUCUUUGAGUUUAUCAAUACGUUUUGCCCUUACCUGCCCUACAACUGUAAAUAACAAAAUGUAUGCAUUUCCUACUUUUUAUUUGUUCCGAAUGUAUUCUCAAGCUUCAAGAACGGUUCCCAUCCUACCAGACUUCCACCGUAU
rnacentral:lncRNA from 1 species